UACUACUAAGGCUCAGCCUUGCGGUGACCUUUUCCCUUUUUCUUUUUCUUUUUGAAAGAAAAAGAGGGAUGGUCGAAACCCAUGGGCGUUUUCUUGAUGGGCGUUCAGCGUAGCAAGUCUCUCGCUGGACCCUGGAAGGAGGAACGCCAAUUCAACGAACGUUUGGCCUCGAAUCAGGUAGGGAUACCCGCUGAACUUAA
rnacentral:misc_RNA from 1 species